CUGGUUGGCACCGCCAGUAGCCGUCAGCAAGACGGCUACAAACCGUGAACAUCCCAAACCAGAGGUACAGUGCCGUGGGAAUCUUCGCCCUUCAGGGCGGAGAGGAUGUCAAAGCCAGUACAACAUC
rnacentral:misc_RNA from 1 species